GGUUUUAUGGUGUAGUGGUUAGCACUCUGGACUUUGUAUCCAUCGACCUGGGUUUGAAUCCCGGUAGAAUCU
rnacentral:tRNA from 1 species